rnacentral:sRNA from 1 species
AGUUUGUUGCAAACCCGGAAGCAGAUCUCUUGGAGUGAAGGCUGUCCGUCGCCGCGUAGAACCCCGAAAGAAGAGGAAGAGGAAAGCAAAGGAGUCAGGGAUGGCUCUUCGUCAGGUGAGAUGAUAUUCUCGGUGGAUUGUUCUGUCUCCUUCCUUUCAGAAACCCUGGGCCUUGGAGUUGGGAAUCUUCUCUGAAUCUGAAGCAUCCUGCCUGACAGGUUUGCUCACACUCACUCAUGCCUUCCCUCAGUCCCUCUCAUCUCACUUAGAUUCCAUCUCUUGUGACCCAGUGACAUGAACUUGGGAAGAGGCUGCACGGGGCAUAGUCCUAGGAAGGGCUCACACCCAGACAUGGAUGGAGAUGGGGUGAGGGUCCUGUAGCAUCAGUGCUGUUGGGCAACACGGAUUGUUCAGGCCAUAUUUGAAUAUAUUGCCAGCUCUGUGUAAACUGUGAUAAGAGAAGCUGGUUAUGAAGUCAGAUGUUACUGUGUACAAGCACCCAUGAAAUGCUGUAAAACGAGACCACUGUGGGGAAAGCUUUGUAGCCUUAUUUAUAUUGCAUUUGAUGCCGAACAAGUGAGUCACUGUGUUUCUGACUCCAAACCAAACUCCUUUUUUUUUUUUUUUGGUUUAAACAGAGUCUCGCUCUGUCGCCUAGGCUGGAGUGCAGUGAUGCGAUCUCAGCUCACUGCAACCUCCACCUCCUGGGCUCAAGUGAUUCUCUUGCCAUGGCCCCCUGAGUAGCUGGGACUACAGGCGUGCGUCACCACGCCCGGCUGGGACUACAGGCGUGCGUCACCACGCCCGGCUAUUUUUUUGUAUUUUUAAUAGAAAUGGGGUUUCACCAUGUUGCCCAGGCCGGUCUCCAACUCGUGAGCUCAAGCGAUCCACCCGCCUUGGCCUCCCAAAGUGCUGGGAUUACAGGCGUGAACCACCGCGCCCGGCCUUCAUUACUUAUAUUCAACCAAGAGAGAAACUUAUCCCUCAGGCAGCACCCUGGAAAGGCAGAAUAUUGGAUGAAUGUUUUCAUACGUUUCCUCUCCCAGGAGAAAUGGGAAAUGGGUGUUUUUCUUGUAGUGACACUGCAUCAUGCCAGGAUGAGGCCUCUGUGAGCAGAUGUCCUGUAUUUUCCUACUAGACUUCUGUUAAGAGUUCCAGCCUCUUACAUGAUUACUGGAUUUCUCACAAAGGCAAUUGGUUCAUAUGUUGCUACUAAAUUUGUGUCUCCAUGGUGGAGGUAGUGUUUGGGAGUUCUAUUCCUCUAUUUUAUUGACAUCACUUUAGUACAGUUUUAUAAUUUCUUUAAAUAGGUCUGGAAACGUAUUUUAAUAGGUAGCAUUGUAUAAUUCCUAAUGUACUCGUGAGAUGCAUUGUGUGUUUGUGUUUAAUGAGAGCUGCUAAAGAAAGAAUGAAGAUUGUUUUCACAGUAUUGUUAUUAGUUCUUAUACUUCAAUGCAUUCUUCUCCUGGGUUGUGAGUAUGUCAUCUGUUAGUUUUAACAGAUCCAGCUCCUACUUUACCUUUUUCUUGGUCUCAGCUCAGGCAUGCUCUGAAGUGGGCUUUAGCUGGAGCCUUGGUGAGCCCCAUUUUCUCCUUUUUUUUUUUUUCUGAUACAAGGUCCGGCCCUGUCGCCCAGUCUGGAGUGCAGUGGUGCAAUCUUGGCUCACUGCAACCUCCACCUCCUGGGCUCAAGCCAGCCUCCCACCUCAGCCUCUCAAGUAGCUGGGACUACACGUGCAUGCCACCACACCCAGCUAAUUUUUAUAUUUUUUGUAAAGAUAGGGGUCUCACUAUUUUGCCGAGGAUCGUCUCGAAUUCCUGAGCUCAAGCAAUCCACCCGCCUUGGCCUCCCAAAGUGUUAGGAUUACAGGCAUGAGCCAUCACACCCAGCCCAUUUUCUCCAUUUUAAUUUAGAGCAAAUGCAUCCAGCAUUUACUGCUUGAUUAUGAUGUUUGGUGAAAUUUUCUUGUUUAAUAUUAGCUUUUGGUGUUUUUCAAAUUUCCUUUUUGGACUGAUUUUUAGUUAUCCAAUAAUUUCUUUGAGUAAGUAUUGUUGCAAUAUGUACUUCUUAAAUCUAUUAAAUUAAUGUAUGAUAUUAAAAAAUGUCCUAAUCUUAUGUUAUGAUUUCAUGAGUAAAAUAAACUAAAACCUCCAUUGGGCUUUUGUUAAUGCCUAAAUAUCUAAAUUUAACUGGGAAAAAAUGGUAUCUGUAUUUUUAAUAUUUGUAUUUAAUACCAAUUGGAGUACAAGUUCUUACAUAUUUUUGUUUUAGCGUUUUUACAGCUUAAUUUACAAAAAUGUUUGUAAACUACAUUAAGUACAAUUCAUGCAUUUUAAUUGUCCCAGACUUUCUGAAAAGCACAUGAGCGAAAAAAAACAACUAAAGAUAUCAU